rnacentral:rRNA from 1 species
GAUGAACGCUGGCGGCGUGCCUAAUACAUGCAAGUCGAGCGAACGGACGAGAAGCUUGCUUUUCUGAUGUUAGCGGCGGACGGGUGAGUAACACGUGGAUAACCUACCUAUAAGACUGGGAGAACUUCGGGAAACCGGAGCUAAUACCGGAUAAUAUUUUGAACCGCAUGGUUCAAAAGUGAAAGACGGUCUUGCUGUCACUUAUAGAUGGAUCCGCGCUGCAUUAGCUAGUUGGUAAGGUAACGGCUUACCAAGGCAACGAUGCAUAGCCGACCUGAGAGGGUGAUCGGCCACACUGGAACUGAGACACGGUCCAGACUCCUACGGGAGGCAGCAGUAGGGAAUCUUCCGCAAUGGGCGAAAGCCUGACGGAGCAACGCCGCGUGAGUGAUGCAGGUCUUCGGAUCGUAAAACUCUGUUAUUAGGGAAGAACAUAUGUGUAAGUAAAUGUGCACAUCUUGACGGUACCUAAUCAGAAAGCCACGGCUAACUACGUG